rnacentral:tRNA from 1 species
GUCCCCAUAGCUCAGCGGAUAGAGUGCGGCCCUGCGGAGGCCGAGACGGAGGUUCAAUUCCUCCUGGGGACA